rnacentral:rRNA from 1 species
GACGAACGCUGGCGGCGUGCUUAACACAUGCAAGUCGAACGGAAAGGCCCUGCUUUUGUGGUGUGCUCGAGUGGCGAACGGGUGAGUAACACGUGAGUAACCUGCCCUUGACUUUGGGAUAACUUCAGGAAACUGGGGCUAAUACCGGAUAUGAGCUCCUGCUGCAUGGUGGGGGUUGGAAAGUUUCGGCGGUUGGGGAUGGACUCGCGGCUUAUCAGCUUGUUGGUGGGGUAGUGGCUUACCAAGGCUUUGACGGGUAGCCGGCCUGAGAGGGUGACCGGCCACAUUGGGCCUGAGACACGGCCCAGCAUCCUACGGGAGGCAGCAGUGGGGAAUAUUGCCCAAUGGGCGGAAGCCUGAUGCAGCAACGCCGCGUGCGGGAUGACGGCCUUCGGGUUGUAAACCGCUUUCGACUGUGACGAAGCGUGAGUGACGGUAAUGGGUAAAGAAGCACCGGCUAACUACGUG